GUCUGUGGCCAUACCACCCUGAAUGCACCCGAUUUUGUCUGAUCUCGGCAGCUAAACAGGGUCAGGUCUGGUUAGUACUUGGAUGGGAGAACAAUAACCAUAGAAA
rnacentral:rRNA from 1 species